GGAGGAGCGGGGCAGAGGAGGGAGGCAGCGGGUGAGAGUUCAGAGUUCAGCAGCAGCAGCCCGAGCCCAUGAUUCCCAUAUGCCCUGUAGUUUCUUUCACCUAUGUGCCCAGCCGGCUGGGGGAAGAUGCCAAAAUGGCGACCGGCAACUACUUUGGAUUCACCCACAGCGGGGCGGCGGCGGCGGCGGCUGCGGCCCAGUAUAGCCAGCAACCAGCUUCGGGUGUAGCCUAUUCUCAUCCAACUACAGUUGCUAGCUACACUGUCCAUCAGGCUCCAGUAGCUGCUCACACAGUUACUGCUGCCUAUGCACCAGCAGCCGCCACAGUUGCAGUUGCCAGGCCUGCUCCAGUAGCUGUUGCAGCAGCUGCGACAGCUGCUGCUUAUGGAGGCUACCCCACUGCACACACAGCAACUGACUAUGGUUAUACCCAGAGGCAACAAGAAGCACCACCGCCACCACCUCCAGCUACCACACAAAACUACCAGGACUCAUACUCAUACGUAAGAUCCACAGCUCCUGCCGUAGCUUAUGACAGUAAGCAGUACUACCAACAGCCAACAGCAACUGCUGCUGCUGUAGCUGCUGCUGCCCAACCUCAGCCUUCUGUUGCUGAAACCUACUAUCAGACAGCCCCCAAAGCAGGUUAUAGCCAAGGUGCAACUCAGUAUACUCAAGCCCAGCAAACUCGACAAGUGACAGCCAUAAAACCAGCCACACCAAGUCCAGCUACCACUACUUUCUCCAUUUAUCCUGUAUCCUCCACCGUACAGCCAGUAGCAGCUGCGGCUACUGUGGUGCCAUCCUAUACUCAGAGUGCUACUUAUAGUACCACAGCAGUUACUUAUUCUGGUACGUCUUAUUCAGGUUAUGAAGCAGCAGUGUAUUCAGCUGCAUCUUCCUACUAUCAACAGCAGCAGCAGCAACAGAAGCAGGCAGCAGCAGCAGCAGCUGCUGCUGCUGCAACAGCUGCCUGGACAGGGACCACCUUUACUAAAAAAGCACCAUUCCAAAAUAAACAACUGAAACCAAAACAGCCUCCCAAACCACCCCAGAUUCACUAUUGUGAUGUUUGUAAGAUCAGCUGUGCUGGACCACAGACUUAUAAAGAACAUUUAGAAGGACAGAAACAUAAAAAAAAAGAAGCUGCAUUGAAAGCAUCACAAAAUACCGCAACUCUACUCGUGGAACUCAAAAUCAGCUACGAUGUGAGCUCUGCGAUGUGUCUUGUACAGGAGCAGAUGCGUAUGUUGCCCACAUUCGUGGUGCUAAGCAUCAGAAAGUGGUUAAAUUACAUACAAAACUUGGUAAACCCAUUCCUUCAACAGAACCAAACGUUGUUAGCCAAGCUACUUCUUCAACAGCUGUAUCUGCUUCAAAACCGACUGCCUCUCCUUCAAGCAUUGCAGCAAGCAAUUGUACUGUGAAUACUUCAUCAAUUGCAACUUCUUCAGUGAAGGGUCUUACGACUACAGGAAACUCGUCUCUUAAUAGCACAUCUAACACUAAAGUAUCAGCAGUGCCUACAAAUAUGGCUGCCAAGAAAACAUCUACCCCCAAAAUAAACUUUGUUGGUGGUAAUAAGCUGCAGUCAACAGGAAAUAAAACAGAAGACUUAAAAGGAACUGAAUGUGUUAAAAGUACUCCUGUCACUUCUGCUGUGCAGAUUCCUGAAGUAAAGCCAGACACAGUGUCAGAGCCAGUCACACCUGCGUCUCUUGCUGCUUUGCAGAGUGAUGUGCAGCCAGUGGGCCAUGAUUAUGUGGAGGAGAAAAAAGUAAAUCCAGAUUUGCAAGUGGAAGUAAAGCCUAGUAUUCGAGCAAGAAAGAUUCAAGAAGAGAAAAUGAGGAAGCAAAUGCAGAAGGAGGAGUACUGGCGAAGACGAGAAGAAGAAGAACGUUGGAGAAUGGAAAUGAGACGUUAUGAAGAGGACAUGUACUGGAGAAGAAUGGAGGAAGAACAGCAUCAUUGGGAUGAUCGCCGCCGAAUGCCCGAUGGAGGCUAUCCUCAUGGUCCUCCAGGCCCGUUAGGCCUUCUGGGAGUCCGACCAGGCAUGCCUCCUCAGCCACAGGGGCCUGCACCCUUGCGUCGCCCCGACUCAUCUGAUGACCGUUAUGUAAUGACAAAACAUGCAACCAUUUAUCCAACUGAAGAGGAGUUACAGGCAGUUCAGAAAAUUGUUUCUAUCACUGAACGUGCUUUAAAACUUGUUUCAGACAGUUUGUCUGAACAUGAGAAGAGCAAGAACAAAGACGGAGAUGAUAAGAAAGAGGGAGGUAAAGACAGAGCUUUGAAAGGAGUUUUACGAGUGGGAGUAUUGGCAAAAGGAUUACUUCUCCGAGGAGAUAGAAAUGUCAACCUUGUUUUGCUGUGUUCAGAGAAACCUUCAAAGACAUUAUUAAGCCGUAUUGCAGAAAACCUACCCAAACAGCUUGCUGUUAUAAGCCCUGAGAAGUAUGACAUAAAAUGUGCUGUAUCUGAAGCGGCAAUAAUUUUGAACUCAUGUGUGGAACCCAAAAUGCAAGUCACUAUCACCUUGACGUCUCCAAUUAUUCGAGAAGAGAACAUGAGGGAAGGAGGCUAUGGAGUUACUAGUAGAGAAAGCAAUCAGUAGUGCUUCCAGUCCUCAGAGCCCUGGAGAUGCACUGAGAAGAGUUUUCGAGUGCAUUUCUUCAGGGAUUAUUCUUAAAGGUAGUCCUGGACUUCUGGAUCCUUGUGAGAAGGAUCCCUUUGAUACCUUGGCAACAAUGACUGACCAGCAGCAUGAAGAUAUCACAUCCAGUGCACAGUUUGCCUUGAGACUCCUUGCAUUCCGCCAGAUACACAAAGUUCUAGGCAUGGAUCCAUUACCCCAAAUGAGCCAACGUUUUAACAUCCACAACAACAGGAAACGAAGAAGGGAUAGCGAUGGAGUUGAUGGAUUUGAAGCUGAGGGGAAAAAAGACAAAAAAGAUUAUGAUAACUUUUAAAAAGCUUCUGUAACUCUUCAGUGUUAAAAACAACAGGUGCCCGUUUGUUGGCUGUUUUUCAUUCAUAAUAAUGUCUACUUUGAAAAAUUUAUCAAGAAUUUAAAGAAUUUCAUGGGAGAACCAAGUUUUUCUAUGACAUUAAAAACGAAAUGUACAGUAUUAGGUAUUAUAUGAAUGGAAAGACACC